rnacentral:misc_RNA from 1 species
AAGUCGUAACAAGGUUUCCGUAGGUGAACCUGCGGAAGGAUCAUUAGUGAAUUGCUAGAAGGUUGUUGCUGGUUUCUUGAACUAGGAAUAUGUGCACACCUUUUAAUCUCUUCAUCCACCUGUGCACCUUUUGUAGGCUUGAGUUUUGGGAUUGUAGUGCUUGCAGUAGCUUCACUUGUUUUAAACCCUCCAAACCUCAAGUUCCUAUGUUUUUACAAACUCUUUAUAAAUGUGUAUGUGUGGCUCUUUAUAAUAAAAUACAACUUUCAACAAUGGAUCUCUUGGUUCUC